GCUGCUGUAGCUCAAUGGUAGAGCAUCCUCUUGUAUUGCCAAGCCCCGGAUGGGAAGUGUUUAUGAGGGUGGUGUGGGUUCGAAUCCCACCAGUGGCA